rnacentral:rRNA from 1 species
UACGUAGGGAGCAAGCGUUGUCCGGAAUCAUUGGGCGUAAAGCGCGCGUAGGCGGCCCUGUAAGUCCGUUGUGAAAGUCAAAGGCUCAACCUUUGAAAGCCGAUGGAUACUGCAGGGCUAGAGUCCGGAAGAGGCGAGUGGAAUUCCUGGUGUAGCGGUGGAAUGCGCAGAUAUCAGGAGGAACACCAAUAGCGAAGGCAGCUCGCUGGGACGGUACUGACACUGAGGCGCGAAAGCGUGGGGAGCGAACAGG